UACAUGUGGGGCAAGCGUUGUUCGGAAUUACUGGGCAUAAAGCGCGCGCAGGUGGUUUCUUAAGUCUGAUGUGAAAGCCCACGGCUCAACCGCGGAGGGUCAUUGGAAACUGGGAGACUUGAGUGCAGAAGAGGAAAGUGGAAUUCCAUGUGUAGCGGUGAAAUGCGUAGAGAUAUGGAGGAACACCAGUGGCGAAGGCGACUUUCUGGUCUGUAACUGACACUGAGGCGCGAAAGCGUGGGGAGCAAACAGG
rnacentral:rRNA from 1 species